rnacentral:rRNA from 1 species
UACGUAGGGUGCAAGCGUUGCCCGGAUUUAUUGGGCGUAAAGGGCGCGUAGGCGGCUCUGCACGUCCGUUGUGAAAUCGCCCGGCUCAACUGGGCGGGGUCAGCGGAUACGGCAGAGCUUGAGCAAGCUAGGGGGCAAUGGAAUUCCCGGUGUAGUGGUGGAAUGCGUAGAUAUCGGGAGGAACACCGGUGGCGAAGGCGGGUCUCUGGGCAGUAACUGACGCUGAGGAGCGAAAGCGUGGGGAGCGAACAGG